UACAGAGGGUGCAAGCGUUAUCCGGAUUCACUGGGUUUAAAGGGUGCGUAGGUGGGCAGGUAAGUCCGUGGUGAAAUCUCUGAGCUUAACUCAGAAACUGCCGUGGAUACUAUUUGUCUUGAAUAUUGUGGAGGUGAGCGGAAUAUGUCAUGUAGCGGUGAAAUGCUUAGAUAUGACAUAGAACACCAAUUGCGAAGGCAGCUCACUACACAAUUAUUGACGCUGAGGCACGAAAGCGUGGGGAUCAAACAGG
rnacentral:rRNA from 1 species